ensembl:lncRNA
CCUGUGAGUAGGUACCUUGGCAUAACUAAGAUUGUUUAUGAUGUGUGUUUCAUGUUUUUGUGUGUGCAUGUCAAAUUUAUUCGUGUUAGCUGAAGGUUUUACAUGUCUGUUGGCAGGUGAAGGAACUAUAUCAAGAAGUGGUCUGUAAAGUUCAGGGACUACAGCCAACUGGGAUAGGCGGAGCAAGUGAAGGGGUGGAGCAUCUGCGCAUGGGGGUGGAGCGUGAGGCAGAGCGUCGACAGGGUCUGGGGGUGCAGCUGAGUCAGCUGACAGAUGCACAGCUUCAGGCACUAAGGGCAGAGCUGAGGAUCCAGCGGUAUACCCACCAAACCGUACACUCAUGGAUGAGAGAGGGUUUGAGGCUGCUGGGUCAGGUUACUGACAGCCUUGCCCCACUCUGGGAUGGACAAAGAGAGCAUUUACUCCAGACGGUGGCAGGCCUGGCACAUGAGAUGACAGAACUGGUGACAUCCGAGUGCCAUCGUCAGGGUGCCUGGGCCGUGCUUAAAGAGGCAACAGGAGCACGACUCUUAUGCCCUAAAACAGGCACUGCCCUCAGCAAAGAUGACAUCAUCUCGGCUGAUGGCACCAUUCGGGCAAAUGAUGCUGUACAUAUGGACCCCUGCACUGGUCUAAUCUUGCCCAACCCUGGUGUUCAUAUGCAUCUGGCCAAUUCCAGUUCCAGCAUGCCGGUGCCUUCUGAUUUCUUCUUGCACCCACAGACAGGUCGGCUGCUGCCUAUGGCUGGGAAUGUGGCCUUUGAUCCGUCCAGCUCCACUCUGGUCUUCACAUCUGACUCAUGCUGGGGAGAUGCUGGAAAAUGGGAAUUACCAUUACUGCCAUUUAUUCCAUACCCUCCGAGCCAGCAUACAGACCACCGUUAUGCAUUUCGCCUCAAAGGGCUGCGGCCGGGACAGAAGCUGCAGCUGGGCGGGGCUAUGUGUGACCAGGACACAGGUGUUCUAGUACCCAUCAUGGCAGUGACCAUCCACCCCCAAACUAGACUGGUGUACCCUCUGGGCGGCGUGUACAUAUGCCCAAUCACACGCCUUUACCAGCCCAUUCAGAUUGGCUCCCCUAUGCUGGACCCCCGCACUGGAAAUCUGGCACUCAUCACUGGGAUCAGUCUGGACCCUAUCACAGGGGUGGUUUUACCAGUGGGUGGGCUCAUAAUUGGAGAGUCAUUCAUUGAACCAUUAAGUGGUCGCCCGGUGCGAGUGGGAGGAGCAACAGUUCGUGGAGGUAGGCUGGUACCCCACAGUGGAGGCUUCCAGGCCCUGCUGGACAGCCAGGCCCUGGGUGCAUCUGACAGAGCAGCGAAGCUGUUGCUGAACCUCAGUAAAGGAGCUUGGGGCACUGACACUCCGGCGCUACAAGGACAGUUGAGCCAAUUGCUGACAGCUGCAGCAGAGCUGGACCAGGCCUGGAGAAGCAGCCACCACUGCAGCCUGCAGCUGAUUUGCCGCAUAGAGGCAGUGCACCAUUGGGCCUUGGGGGUGGCACAGGAUGGAGGCAGCCUUGGUGAGAUUCAGGUGCCUGGAACAGGAGUCUGCCUUCCAGCUCUUCUUGGAAUGGAAUAUCCUGACCCUGGUGGCUCUGGCCUCAAUGUUCCAGUUCUGGGGGCACAACUGGUCUGGGAGUUGGGUGAUAUGGUAGCUCUGGCUGGAACUAUGGAGGAUGCAGAAGGCAAAGGACUGGUCCCUAUUCGUCUGGGUGCUCUGGCAGUGGACCCAGUAACUGGUGUACUUGCUCCUGUGGUGGGCGUGCGAUUGGAUGUGCUGAAGAAGACAGUGGUGCCUGUAACUGUGUCCCAGUACCUAGCCAUUGGACACAGCCCUGACACCAUUGAGAUGGAAACUCUACAGAAUGAGGUGUCUGUGAGGAGCCGGUACUGGAAACAGCAGAGGAAGAAGGAGGAGGAGCUUUUGGGAGAUUUAUUGGGAGCACUGCGGCACUGUCUUUACACCUCCUCCCAGCAGGAGUCACAUAGGGGCCACUGGUCCGACUGGGAGGCUCAACUGGGAGAGACUGUGCAGGAGCUCCAGGAGCGAGCACAGAGGGAGACCCAAAGGCGAGCGGUCCAGGCCUUUGAUCAGGCUCUGCUGCUUGCACAUCAUGUGCAGUUUAUUCUUACAGAAGGUGAGGAGGAGGAGUGGGAACAGCAGUGUGAGUGGCAGGCAGAGCUUGAGUCUAACCUCAGCAGGAUAAAUGUGUGUGUGGAGCAGAUGCAGCGAGAGGUUGAGGAGGCCAAGAGUCGCAAUAUUCAACUGCAUGAAGGCACCAGGCAGAGGGAAUUGUGGGAGCAACUAAACAUGAGGCAGGCCGAAACCGACUCUGCGUUCACUGCCAUUAUUUGUGUACGGGAACUCAGCCAAAUAUGGGCAGAGACAGCUCAGGCUGUACUGUCAGGGGCAUUCUGGUACAGAGACUUCAGCCUGACCUUAUCUUGCCACCCACCAAAUCCUCUGAAGAUGCUGAUGAUGACUCAGUGUAAAAUUGUCCCUCAGCUUGAGCGCCUUCUCCAGCAGUUAGAGGACAAUGAGCACUUCAGUCUCUCCACAAACACACAUCGGAAGCAGCGCUCAGGCCUGUCAGCAAAGCAGACGUCUGGGAUAGAGACCAGCUCCAGGGAGUGGACAGCCUCUGUCUCUGCAGGAAAAGACACAAAAGAGUCUCCAAAUGGUUGCAUCCAGCCGGACUCUAUCAGCAUUCCAGCACUGACAGUAGAGGAAUGGAGCUCUCUUCUGCAGCUCUCCCCCCUUUUUCAACUGCUCUGUGGGCUGGAACAAGAAAUGAGACGAUUGGCAGGAAAGCUUGGCCUCUUCAAGGAAGGGGGUGUGGGCAAGAGGCACACUUUUCUGGACUUACUGGAUGCACAGCUUAAGUGCGAGGGCCAUCUGACACCCAUCAGCCCUGACAACCUAACCCCCCGAGAGUUUCUGGUUUACCAGCAUGGCCAGUUUCUACUGCAGAAAUUACACUCAAACAAAGUGAUUCCAGCUUUGCAGCUCCAGCUUGCUUGCACGCUACC